rnacentral:rRNA from 1 species
AGAGAGAGACAUGCGCGCAUAUCAAUAAGCGGAGGAAAAGAAACUAACAAGGAUUCCCCUAGUAACGGCGAGUGAAGCGGGAAGAGCUCAAAUUUGAAAUCUUAAAGGGUUUCCCUUUACGAAUUGUAGUUUAAAGAAGUGUUUUCUGUUGAGGUUUUGGUAAAAGUUCUUUGGAAUAGGACAUCAUAGAGGGUGAGAAUCCCGUAUUUGACCUUUACUUUCAACUUUGUGAUACACUUUCAAAGAGUCGGAUUGUUUGGGAAUGUAGUCCAAAAUGGGUGGUAAAUUUCAUCUAAAGCUAAAUAUUGGCGAGAGACCGAUAGCGAACAAGUACCGUGAGGGAAAGAUGAAAAGAACUUUGAAAAGAGAGUUAAACAGUACGUGAAAUUGUCAAAAGGGAAGCGUUUGACACCAGUGUUGUUUUUCUGAAAAUCAAUUAAAGAACUGUUUAUGCUAAGCUGUUUAGACUUUAUCAGCUAACUGUUUAGUUUUGAGCUUUUCUUUAAUGCACUUUUCAGUUAACAAGUCAACAUCAAUUUCUUUUGCUGUAAAAAAGCUUGAGGAAGGUGGCUUGAGAUUCGUCUUAAGUGUUUAUAGCCUCUUGCCUAUGCAGUCGGAGAGAUUGAGGUCUGCAGCGUAGAUCCUUCGGGGCUAAAUGCAUUUGUGCUAAGUUAUAGCACUUUAUAGACAACUUGUUGACUAUGAUUUGUCUUGUAGCUUACUCGCUUAUGUUAUUUUACCUACGCUUAGGAUGUUGACGCAUGAGAUAUACGC